UGCAUACUAUUAGUUAAGAUUUUAUAGUCAUGUGGCCAGUGUUUAAUGAUUUUACCGUGGUUAAGUUUGACUUUUAGCUAACAUGUAUGAAGGUGUAAUGUGUUUGAGUCUAGCCUGUUUGUAGCUAAGAGCUGCGCAGUGUGUUUUUUCUUUUCGAUGCAUGCUGUAGAGUCUACAGCAUGCAUCGAAAAGUUACACAAUCAACCCUGGUUCAACCCUGGUUGAGUCCUCGGUGUGAAAGGGGUAAGACAGGAGCACCUACACCAAAGCAAAGCAAUUCAGUGCUGUGGACGGGGACGGCAUAACAAAAAGCAUUUUAGCCAUCUAAAAGUGUGUAGGAUCUGGUGGUAUGUAACGGUGAGGUGAGGAGACUGCAACCAACUGAAGGCUCUCCCGUGUGCCAAGCGUCUUGGAGAACUACAGUGGCCGACUUGAAAACACGGAUGGCCCUUUCUAGAGCCAGUUGUUGUAAGAAUAGCGUUGGUAAUCUGGAGCAGAGUCAGUGCGUAGAGUGUGUGUGUAUGCGGGAAGUGAGUGAAGAAGCAAGAGAGAGAGAGAGCGGCGGCGACAGGAGCGAGUAACGUUAUCGACGUUAACAGUGUUUGGUUUGUCCAUUCUGGGCUACUAACAUGGCUGUGCAACUUGGCGGACUCCAUGGAGGGGAUGAGCUCCCUAUGUAGAUAUAAACGGCUCAUUCUAAGCUAACGAAAACACAACGAUUCUUAUUAUCAGGUGAUUAUACACAAAAAAAACAUACUUAUGAAUAUUAUAUUCCAUUUCUGCCAAUAGAGCCUCCUAAUUGUUACACACUGGUCCUUUUAAAAUGUGGCUGAGCAGGUCUUUUAUGAGGAGGAAAAUGCAUUCAACACAUACUGUAGGUAGGCCUCAAGGAUACACGCGUUUUGGUGAGAAUACUGAAUGUAGACAUAACUUUAUUUGUGUCCAAGAACUACACAGGGUACCACAGGGUGGCGGAAUAAACUAAAAACAUUGGAUCUACCAUAUUAGCAGCUUAAACAAUUUAGAAAAACUUGAAGAUAGUAUGUGAGUAACAGUUGCUCAAGCUUUAUAUGACAAGGCAUGUGGUCACACAAUGAUCAAAUUAAUAUAAACACAAUCAGUCUGCUGUUGAAUGACUAGAAAUAUUUACAUCACAAAGCCCGAGUAACAAUCCUGCUCUCAUGCAAUGAUUUUAGAAGUUGUGUAAAUUUGUGCCCAUAAAUAUUCAUUGAUUUCUUUUCAUCUUCUUCUGUUUAACCAUCAUCAGACCGUGUGUCCUCUCUGUGGGCGAUGGGACACCUGUGAUGGAUCACAACUAUUUACAUAUCACAGCUCCCUUGAAACUGUGCCUUGCUUGCUAAAAAUAAAUACCUCCCAGCUACAGGAGUUAGUGAUGGAAAAUGGAUAUCAGGUCUUGAUAUAAACACACAUAUAUUGGGGCAGGGAAGAGGGGAGGGGUUGGGCAACGCUCACAAUGCUUCGUCUUGUCUGGGAAGGCCCCCCCGGAGGCUGACUGCGUUUGGAAAAAGGGGAAAGAACACCGGACCCCGUCUGUUUGAACUGCAUGCUCAAAUGAGGUUUUAGCAUAAAUAUUUCCACCAAGAGAAAUGGGAGAAUGUUAUCACAUGUGGAGCUUAUAUAUACACACACACACAUGGCACACACACAUGUUUGAAAAUUCAUGGGUUUACACUGUGGCAGGCAUUUACACAGACACACAAAUAAAGAUGAUCCACUAUAUAAACAAGUCCGUUAAAGCAGCAGCCUACCCGCUGCUGCUUUAACUGACUUGUUUAUAUAGUGGAGUGAAUUGAAGCAAAUAUGAUUUAAAAACUAGAAAUUGAAGAUAUCCACAAUAACUUACUAGUAGAAAUUGUAUUUCAAGAUAUCUACAACAUUAAUUGUACGAGUCAAAACAUACUUCCCUAAAAUAAGAGUACCAAAACCGCCCAGUUUUGGGACAGGUCAGUUAACUACAUUUUUCAUAAAGUCUUUUACUCCUAUGGUCCUUUAUAAUAGUAAUAUUAACUGUAAUAAUAUUAUUAUUAUUAUUAAUAAUAAUAAUAAUAAUAAUAAUAAUAAUUAUUAUUAUUAUUAUUCUACUACCACUACUACUACUACUACUACUAAUAAUAAUAAUAAUAAUAGCAAGACAGCCUCACUGAAGUAUCAUUAUUUAAUGUAUUUAUUUAUUUUUGCUUGAUUCACAGAGGAAAUUGCUGUGAUACUUUGGCAUUAAAUAUGCUUAAUGUGCUGUAUGUUUUAUGUUUUUUAUGAUAUAUUAAAGAAACCUACACUGUUAUAAUCAUUUUUAUUGUAGGAUGUUGUAUGAAUGGAUGAUGCACAGUGUUGUAGCAGUUGUGCUGUAAUUGUAUGUGUAACUCUUCAGGGAUAACAACAUCGGGGACUGUGGGUUGGAGAUGUUAUUCUCUGUUGACAAAGAGAUCCUGGGGGAAAUCUCCACCCAUGAGCUGAAACCAGGAGGAGGAGACAUCCAGGUCACUGAGGAGAACAAGGAGGAGUACAUCAGGUGAAUUAUUCCUAUGAUUCAGUCAUUUUCAUUCAGCCUUUUUAAUUUGUAUAUAAUAAUUCAAAGUAGAUUAUGUGUCAGAUUGGUUUUACUCCUUGGGCUAUAAUGUAGUUUUUCUGAAAAUGAAGCACAUAAUGUCACUGUUCUUAGUGUUUCUGAGUAUUUGAUGAAGUAGAGUGUGAUAUGUGAGUGUAUUGCCUCUGUCUCCCCCUGCAGGCUGGCAGCAGAGUGGAGGCUGUCCAGAGGAGUGGAAAGUCGGUGUGUAUUUGCAGCAGUCAUAUUUGUUUACUUUUUACUGUAACAUGCAGAGAUAUUAAGGGUAUGAGAAAUAUAGGUUUAAUGAUUUAACUAGUCCAAAUUAAUACACUGUGUUGCGAGUCUACAUAUUUUAUGUUAAUGCCUUUGUAUUAUUAUCAUUAUUAUCAUCUUAUGUAUUUAUAUAUUGAUCGUUUAAUUCUCAUUUUUGGGUGCUUUUAUUGGAAUAAUUGCAGUUAAAAAGUAAGUCAAUCAGUAGUUAUGUAUGGAGACAGAUCAGUGCCAAUAUCACUGCACACAAAAGGAUUCAGAAAUGUAUAUUGUGAUUAAGAUAAAAAUGACUCUCUCCACAAAAGUAUUUUUCAAUUCAUACAAAAAAUAUCAUUGUACAGGCUAUACAUGUAUAAAAAAAAAAAAAAAAGGUUACGUAACAACCUGUACCCAACAAG